AACNGACACAGGUGGUCAGGUAGAGAAUACCAAGGCGCUUGAGAGAACUCGGGUGAAGGAACUAGGCAAAAUGGUGCCGUAACUUCGGGAGAAGGCACGCUGACACGUAGGUGAAGUGAUUUACUCAUGGAGCUGAAGUCAGUCGAAGAUACCAGCUGGCUGCAACUGUUUAUUAAAAACACAGCACUGUGCAAACACGAAAGUGGACGUAUACGGUGUGACGCCUGCCCGGU
rnacentral:rRNA from 1 species